GUGCCUCGGGGCGCAGCAGUGGGGAAUAUUGCACAAUGGGGGAAACCCUGAUGCAGCGACGCCGCGUGAGUGAAGAAGUAUUUCGGUAUGUAAAGCUCUAUCGGCAGGGAAGAAAAUGACGGUACCUGACUAAGAAGCCCCGGCUAACUACGUGCCAGCAGCCGCGGUAAUACGUAGGGGGCAAGCGUUAUCCGGAUUUACUGGGUGUAAAGGGAGCGUAGACGGUGAUGCAAGUCAGAAGGGAAAGCCCGC
rnacentral:rRNA from 1 species